CAGUAGCCGCGGGAAAACGGAGGGUGCAAGCGUUAAUCGGAAUUACUGGGCGUAAAGCGCACGCAGGCGGUCUGUCAAGUCAGAUGUGAAAUCCCCGGGCUUAACCUGGGAACUGCAUUUGAAACUGGCAGGCUAGAGUCUUGUAGAGGGGGGUAGAAUUCCAGGUGUAGCGGUGAAAUGCGUAGAGAUCUGGAGGAAUACCGGUGGCGAAGGCGGCCCCCUGGACAAAGACUGACGCUCAGGUGCGAAAGCGUGGGGAGCAAACAGGAUUAGAUACCCCUGUAGUCCCUGUCUCUUAUAA
rnacentral:rRNA from 1 species